UUCUCCCUCUUUAUAGAUAUCUCUCCACUCUAUCACUAUCUUUGUUCGAUCGGCCCCAUCACAACAACUAGAUCUUUUGACUAGGUCUAGGGCUUGAUGUAAAAUCGCCCUUAAAUUGAACCAGGUUCAACUCUUGUUCUGAAGCCAAAGAGGACACGCCAGAAGAAUUGUAUUGUGACCACAAAUUUUGAGAUUUUUCUUUGAAAUUUUGAGUUUUUAAGGUUUGAUUUUGAGAUUUUCCGAUUUUCUCUUUUCUUCUUGUUGAUAUAUGUAUAUCUUUGAGUUAUUCAUAUCUUCGUGGAUUUUAUUCAUGUUCUCAUGCUUCAUUUUUGUGUCUUUUGACUAAGAUGCACUUGUAAAUUUUAUUGCUAAUUAGCUGGAAACAGAGCUGGUGUGCCUGACAAUUGCUGCGCAUUUCACAAACUGCUACUUUACGGCGAGCAUUUUCAAAGACCUGCAAAUGUGCAUAAAGGGAAGACACUGGAUCAGAAAUUGGAUAUAGUGCCUAGCAAUAACUGGAACUAGGAACAGGUUGACCUUGGGACCUCAUUCUGCAUUUUGCUAUCGUAAUUCCUUUGGCAUUUCUGCAUACGGUUCUCAAUCUUUUAAGCUUUAACUUGUAGGUCACUUUCCUUAUCACUUUUCAAUAUCCGUAAGUUAGCUCUUAUAUUGAACUCAAGUCAGCAAAGAAGAUGGCUACAAUUUGUUAACAGUUCUGGGCUGUAAUUUCUCUUUUUGUUACAUUAAGCAUUUGACAUGAAGUUGGAAACUGAAGUUCAUAUUCCUCAUAGUUCCUUUACCUUUGAGGGGUGGUGGUGGUGUGGAUAGAUAAUGAAUUCUUGCAACACAUACUGUGGACUUUAAAAUGCUCGUGUUCAUGACCAGAUGCAUGAUUUACUAUUCACUCUAGUGUUUGAGCAAAUACUGAGUUUAUCUACUUUCCAUGUGAUUUCCUAUGUGAUGAUGCUUAAAAUCUUGGUUUGUCAGCUCAUUUCGAUAGUCAUGUUGGAAGAAUUCAGAUUUGUAUAACCGAAGACAAGUCAUACAAUUUGAUGCUCGAAAGUUUAGCAUUUGGAAGAUUUCAAUAUGAUGAAGUGUUGCGAAAAUUAAUAGAAGACUAUUAUUUCUAGUUCUCGAUAGGAUUGUUAUAUAAUGACAUUAGUUAUUUAGUUCAAACAAUAUAAGUUUUCUAAGUAGUUUUUACGUUAAUAUUUUGCGUUGGUACUUCCGUUUGUUUGUUAGAUCUAACGAGAUAUAUUAUGUUUUUAUAAAUUAAUAGUGAUGUGUU